GGGGCAGGUAUGAUGGAAAAGGGGAGGUGCUGUGGAAGAGGAUGGUGAUGAAAAGAGAAGGAUGGAGAAAAAGCCGGCACAGUGUGAUUUAAGAUCUCCAGCUGGACCAUUAUCCUAGAAGCUGCCAUCAGCUGUAGAGGUGAACUCCAAAUGAAAGAUCACACAAAAGGGACCUAGAAGUAAGCAGAUGGCUUUUAGAACUGGAACUACAAGCAAAAAAUUACCAGCAAGUCACAGCUGUGCUGGACCACAUGAGCAGCUGCAUUGCCCCAUACAUCUAAGGAUGCACUUACAGAGUCUCUAAAAUGACUGCGCAUUUGUCUAUGUGCAUCUCCAGGAAUGAGAAACACAGAGAAGGAUGAUGCUGAAAUGUGUCCUCCAGCUCCUGCAAGUCAUUGUCAAGUGCUCAGAGCCAGCCUCUCAGAUCGACUGGCGGAUGACAUGCCUGGCUGGGCUGAGGCACUCAAAUCGACGCUUCCCCAGGGUGCUGCUCCUGAUGGAGUUUGCAGCAGGAGCUAAAAGCCGCAUACAGAUAACUCUUCCUUCCCCCUGCUUCCUUCCCCCUUCCUUCCUUUCAGCAAUUCAGGGAGAAGAGGGUGAAGAAAAUGGCACUUGGAUUAAAUAAAAUAACAAGCAGCACACAGGGCUUUUAGCUGUAAGUGAGCCAAGUGUCCUGUAACAUUAAAUAAAUGCAAGAUUAACCUUCAA